rnacentral:lncRNA from 1 species
CUGGCAAAGUCGCGCCCAAAAAUAAGCGCCCGAAGGUCGUGGUGCCAAAACCCCCCAGCGGAAAAAUGGCCAAAAAACGGGUGGGCUAUAGCCUUGGUGGGGGGCGCGGGCGAAGUUCGUCCGCCGGACUCGGAAUGGGGCGAGACUUUGCGAGGGGCCUCGAGGUGCCAAAAAUAAGCCGCGGGCAAAGCCGCGCCCAAAAAUAAGCGCCCGAAGGUCGUGGUGCCAAAACCCCCCAGCGGAUAAAUGGCCAAAAAACGGGUGGGCUAUAGCCUUGGUGGGGGGCGCGGGCGAAGUUCGUCCGCCGGACUCGGAAUGGGGCGAGACUUUGCGAGGGGCCUCGGGGUGCCCGCGGGAAGUCGCGGGCACAGCCGCGUCCAAAAAUAAGCGCCCGAAGGUCGUGGUGCAAAAACCCCCCAGCGGAAAAAUGGCCAAAAAACGGGUGGGCUAUAGCCUUGGUGGGGGGCGCGGGCGAAGUUCGUCCGCCGGACUCGGAAUGGGGCGAGACUUUGCGAGGGGCCUCGAGGUGCCCGCGGGAAGUCGCGGGCACAGCCGCGUCCAAAAAUAAGCGCCCGAAGGUCGUGGUGCCAAAACCCCCCAGCGGAAAAAUAGCCAAAAAACGGGUGGGCUAUAGCCUUGGUGGGGGGCGCGGGCGAAGUUCGUCCGCCGGACUCGGAAUGGGGCGAGACUUUGCGCGAGGCCUCGGGGCGCCAAAAAUAAGCCGCGGGCAAAACCGCGCCCAAAAAUAAGCGCCCGAAGGUCGUGGUGCCAAAACCCCCCAGCGGAAAAAUGGCCAAAAAACGGGUGGGCUAUAGCCUUGGUGGGGGGCGCGGGCGAAGUUCGUCCGCCGGACUCGGAAUGGGGAGAGACUUUGCGAGGGGCCUCGGGGUGCCAGCGGGAAGUCGCGGGCACAGCCGCGUCCAAAAAUAAGCGCCCGAAGGUUGUGGUGACAAAACCCCCCAGCGGAAAAAUGGCCAAAAAACGGGUGGGCUAUAGCCUUGGUGGGGGGCGCGGGCGAAGUUCGUCCGCCGGACUCGAAUGGGGCGAGACUUUGCGAGGGGCCUCGGGGUGCCAAAAAUUAGCCGCGGGCAAAGCCGCGCCCAAAAAUAAGCGCCCGAAGGUCGUGGUGCCAAAACCCCCCAGCGGAAAAAUGGCCAAAAAACGGGUGGGCUAUAGCCUUGGUGGGGGGCGCGGGCGAAGUUCGUCCGCCGGACUCGGAAUGGGGCGAGACUUUGCGAGGGGCCUCGAGGUGCCCGCGGGAAGUCGCGGGCACAGCCGCGUCCAGAAAUAAGCACCCGAAGGUCGUGGUGCCAAAACCCCCCAGCUGAAAAAUGGCCAAAAAACGGGUGGGCUAUAGCCUUGGUGGGGGGCGCAGGCGAAGUUCGUCCGCCGGACUCGGAAUGGGGCGAGACUUUGCGAGGGCCCUCGGGGUGCCAAAAAUAAGCCGCGGGGAAAGCCGCGCCCAAUGGUCGUGGUGCCAAAACCCCCCAGCGGAAAAAUGGCCAAAAAACGGGUGGGCUAUAGCCUUGGUGGGGGGCGCGGGCGAAGUUCAUCCGCCGGACUCGGAAUGGGGCGAGACUUUGCACGGGGCCUCGGGGCGCCAAAAAUAAGCCGCUGGCAAAGUCGCGCCCAAAAAUAAGCGCCCGAAGGUCGUGGUGCCAAAACCCCCCAGCGGAAAAAUGGCCAAAAAACGGGUGGGCUAUAGCCUUGGUGGGGGGCGCGGGCGAAGUUCGUCCGCCGGACUCGGAAUGGGGCGAGACUUUGCGAGGGGCCUCGGGGUGCCCGCGGGAAGUCGCGGGCACAGCCGCGUCCAAAAAUAAGCCCCCGAAGGUCGUGGUGCCAAAACCCCCCAGCGGAAAAAUGGCCAAAAAACGGGUGGGCAAUAGCCUUGGUGGGGGGCGCGGGCAAAGUUCGUCCGCCGGACUCGGAAUGGGGCGAGACUUUGCGAGGGGCCUCGGGGUGCCAAAAAUAAGCCGCGGGCAUAGCCGCGCCCAAAAAUAAGCGCCCGAAGGUCUUGGUGCCAAAACCCCCCAGCGGAAAAAUGGCCAAAAAACGGGUGGGCUAUAGCCUUGGUGGGGGGCGCGGGCGAAGUUCGUCCGCCGGACUCGGAAUGGGGCGAGACUUUGCGAGGGGCCUCGGGGUGCCCGCGGGAAGUCGCGGGCACAGCCGCGUCCAAAAAUAAGCGCCCGAAGGUCGUGGUGCAAAAACCCCCCAGCGGAAAAAUGGCCAAAAAACGGGUGGGCUAUAACCUUGGUGGGGGGCGCGGGCGAAGUUCGUCCGCCGGACUCGGAAUGGGGCGAGACUUUGCGAGGGGCCUCGAGGUGCCCGCGGGAAGUCGCGGGCACAGCCGCGUCCAAAAAUAAGCGCCCGAAGGUCGUGGUGCCAAAACCCCCCAGCGGAAAAAUAGCCAAAAAACGGGUGGGCUAUAGCCUUGGUGGGGGGCGCGGACGAAGUUCGUCCGCCGGACUCGGAAUGGGGCGAGACUUUGCGAGGGGCCUCGGGGUGCCAAAAAUAAGCCGCGGGCAAAGCCGCGCCCAAAAAUAAGCGCCCGAAGGUCGUGGUGCCAAAACCUCCCAGCGGAAAAAUGGCCAAAAAACGGGUGGGCUAUAGCCUUGGUGGGGGGCGCGGGCGAAGUUCGUCCGCCGGACUCGGAAUGGGGCGAGACUUUGCGAGGGGCCUCGGGGUGCCCGCGGGAAGUCGCGGGCUCAGCCGCGUCCAAAAAUAAGCGCCCGAAGGUCGUGGUGCCAAAACCCCCCAGCGGAAAAAUGGCCAAAAAACGGGUGGGCUAUAGCCUUGGUGGGGGGCGCGGGCGAAGUUCGUCCGCCGGACUCGGAAUGGGGCGAGACUUUGCGAGGGGCCUUGGGGUGCCCGCGGGAAGUCGCGGGCACAGCCGCGUCCAAAAAUAAGCGCCCGAAGGUCGUGGUGCCAAAACCCCCCAGCGGAAAAAUGGCAAAAAAACGGGUGGGUUAUAGGCUUGGUGGGGGGCGCGGGCGAAGUUCGUCCGCCGGACUCGGAAUGGGGCGAGACUUUGCGCGGGGCCUCGGGGCGCCAAAAAUAAGCCGCGGGCAAAGCCGCACCCAAAAAUAAGCGCCCGAAGGUCGUGGUGCUAAAACCCCCCAGCGGAAAAAUGGCCAAAAAACGGGUGGGCUAUAGCCUUGGCGGGGGGAGCGGGCGAAGUUCGUCCGCCGGACUCGGAAUGGGGCGAGACUUUGUGCGGGGCCUCGGGGCGCCAAAAAUAAGCCGCGGGCAAAGCUGUGCCCAAAAAUAAGCGCCCGAAGGUCGUGGUGCCAAAACCCACCAGCGGAAAAAUGGCCAAAAAACGGGUGGGCUAUAGCCUUGGUGGGGCCGCGGGCGAAGUUCGUCCGCCGGACUCGGAAAGGGGCGAGACUUUGCGCAGGGCCUCGGGGUGCCAAAAAUAAGCCGCGGGCAAAGACGCGCCCAAAAAUAAGCGCCCGAAGGUCGUGGUGCCAAAACCCCCCAGCGGAAAAAUGGCCAAAAAACGGGUGGGCUAUAGCCUUGGUGGGGAGCGCGGGCGAAGUUUGUCCGCCGGACUCGGAAUGGGGCGAGACUUUGCGAGGGGCCUCGGGGUACCCGCGGGAAGUCGCGGGCACAGCCGCGUCGAAAAAUAAGCGCCCGAAGGUCGUGGUGCCAAAACCCCCCAGCGGAAAAAUGGCCAAAAAACGGGUGGGCUAUAGCCUUGGUGGGGGGCGCGGGCGAAGUUCGUCCGCCGGACUCGGAAUGGGGCGAGACUUUGCGAGGGGCCUCGGGGUGCCAAAAAUAAGCCGCGGGCAAAGCCGCGCCCAAAAAUAAGUGCCCGAAGGUCGUGGUGCCAAAACCCCCCAGCGGAAAAAUGGCCAAAAAACGGGUGGGCUAUAGCCUUGGUGGGGGGCGCGGGCGAAGUUCGUCCGCCGGACUCGGAAUGGGGCGAGACUUUGCGAGGGGCCUCGGGGUGCCAAAAAUAAGCCGCGGGCAAAGCCGCGCCCAAAAAUAAGUGCCCGAAGGUCAUUGUGCCAAAACCCCCCAGCGGAAAAAUGGCCAAAAAACGGGUGGGCUAUAGCCUUGGUGGGGGGCGCGGGCGAAGUUCGUCCGCCGGACUCGGAAUGGGGCGAGACUUUGCGAGGGCCCUCGGGGUACCAAAAAUAAGCCGCGGGCAAAGCCGCGCCCAAAAAUAAGCGCCCAAAGGUCGUGGUGCCAAAACCCCCAGCGGAAAAAUGGCCAAAAAACGGGUGGGCUAUAGCCUUGGUGGGGGGCGAGGGCGAAGUUCGUCCGCCGGACUCGGAAUGGGGCGAGACUUUGCGAGGGGCCUCGGGGUACCCGCGGGAAGUCGCGGGCACAGCCGCGUCGAAAAAUAAGCGCCCGAAGGUCGUGGUGCCAAAACCCCCCAGCGGAAAAAUGGCCAAAAAACGGGUGGGCUAUAGCCUUGGUGGGGGGCGCGGGCGAAGUUCGUUCGCCGGACUCGGAAUGGGCCGAGACUUUGCGAGGGGCCUCGGGUUGCCCGCGGGAAGUCGCGGGCACAGCCGCGUCCCGAAAAUAAGCGCCCGAAGGUCGUGGUGCCAAAACCCCCAGCGGAAAAAGGGCCAAAAAACGGGUGGGCUACAGCUUUGGUGGGGGGCGAGGGCGAAGUUCGUCCGCCGGACUCGGAAUGGGGCGAGACUUUGCGAGGGGCCUCGGGGUGCCAAAAAUAAGGCGCGGGCAAAGCCGCGCCCAAAAAUAAGCGCCCAAAGGUCGUGGUGCCAAAACCCCCCAGCGGAAAAAUGGCCAAAAAACGGGUGGGCUAUAGCAUUGGUGGGGGGCGCGGGCGAAGUUCGUCCGCCGGACUCGGAAUGGGGCGAGACUUUGCGAGGGGCCUCGGGGUGCCCGCGGGAAGUCGCGGGCACAGCCGCGUCCAGAAAUAAGCGCCCGAAGGUCGUGGUGCCAAAACCCCCCAGCGGAAAAAUGGCCAAAAAACGGGUGGGCUAUAGCCUUGGUGGGGGGCGCGGGCGAAGUUCGUCCGCCGGACUCGGAAUGGGGCGAGACUUUGCGAGGGGCCUCGGGGUGCCAAAAAUAAGCCGCGGGCAAAGCCGCGCCCAAAAAUAAGUGCCCGAAGGUCAUUGUGCCAAAACCCCCCAGCGGAAAAAUGGCCAAAAAACGGGUGGGCUAUAGCCUUGGUGGGGGGCGCGGGCGAAGUUCGUCCGCCGGACUCGGAAUGGGGCGAGACUUUGCGAGGGCCCUCGGGGUACCAAAAAUAAGCCGCGGGCAAAGCCGCGCCCAAAAAUAAGCGCCCAAAGGUCGUGGUGCCAAAACCCCCCAGCGGAAAAAUGGCCAAAAAACGGGUGGGCUAUAGCCUUGGUGGGGGGCGCGGGCGAAGUUCAUCCGCCGGACUCGGAAUGGGCNNNNNNNNNNNNNNNNNNNNNNNNNNNNNNNNNNNNNNNNNNNNNNNNNNNNNNNNNNNNNNNNNNNNNNNNNNNNNNNNNNNNNNNNNNNNNNNNNNNNNNNNNNNNNNNNNNNNNNNNNNNNNNNNNNNNNNNNNNNNNNNNNNNNNNNNNNNNNNNNNNNNNNNNNNNNNNNNNNNNNNNNNNNNNNNNNNNNNNNNNNNNNNNNNNNNNNNNNNNNNNNNNNNNNNNNNNNNNNNNNNNNNNNNNNNNNNNNNNNNNNNNNNNNNNNNNNNNNNNNNNNNNNNNNNNNNNNNNNNNNNNNNNNNNNNNNNNNNNNNNNNNNNNNNNNNNNNNNNNNNNNNNNNNNNNNNNNNNNNNNNNNNNNNNNNNNNNNNNNNNNNNNNNNNNNNNNNNNNNNNNNNNNNNNNNNNNNNNNNNNNNNNNNNNNNNNNNNNNNNNNNNNNNNNNNNNNNNNNNNNNNNNNNNNNNNNNNNNNNNNNNNNNNNNNNNNNNNNNNNNNNNNNNNNNNNNNNNNNNNNNNNNNNNNNNNNNNNNNNNNNNNNNACUGGUGUUUACCGGGUCUUCAUGACGCCCGCGGGAAGUCGCGGGCACAGCCGCGUCCAAAAAUAAGCGCCCGAAGGUCGUGGUGCCAAAACCCCCCAGCGGAAAAAUAGCCAAAAAACGGGUGGGCUAUAGCCUUGGUCGGGGGCGCGGGCGAAGUUCGUCCGCCGGACUCGGAAUGGGGCGAGACUUUGCGCGGGGCCUCGGGGCGCCAAAAAUAAGCCGCGGGCAAAACCGCGCCCAAAAAUAAGCGCCCGAAGGUCGUGGUGCCAAAACCCCCCAGCGGAAAAAUGGCCAAAAAACGGGUGGGCUAUAGCCUUGGUGGGGGGCGCGGGCGAAGUUCGUCCGCCGGACUCGAAUGGGGCGAGACUUUGCGAGGGGCCUCGGGGUGCCAAAAAUUAGCCGCGGGCAAAGCCGCGCCCAAAAAUAAGCGCCCGAAGGUCGUGGUGCCAAAACCCCCCAGCGGAAAAAUGGCCAAAAAACGGGUGGGCUAUAGCCUUGGUGGGGGGCGCGGGCGAAGUUCGUCCGCCGGACUCGGAAUGGGGCGAGACUUUGCGAGGGGCCUCGAGGUGCCCGCGGGAAGUCGCGGGCACAGCCGCGUCCAGAAAUAAGCACCCGAAGGUCGUGGUGCCAAAACCCCCCAGCUGAAAAAUGGCCAAAAAACGGGUGGGCUAUAGCCUUGGUGGGGGGCGCAGGCGAAGUUCGUCCGCCGGACUCGGAAUGGGGCGAGACUUUGCGAGGGCCCUCGGGGUGCCAAAAAUAAGCCGCGGGGAAAGCCGCGCCCAAUGGUCGUGGUGCCAAAACCCCCCAGCGGAAAAAUGGCCAAAAAACGGGUGGGCUAUAGCCUUGGUGGGGGGCGCGGGCGAAGUUCGUCCGCCGGACUCGGAAUGGGGCGAGACUUUGCACGGGGCCUCGGGGCGCCAAAAAUAAGCCGCUGGCAAAGUCGCGCCCAAAAAUAAGCGCCCGAAGGUCGUGGUGCCAAAACCCCCCAGCGGAAAAAUGGCCAAAAAACGGGUGGGCUAUAGCCUUGGUGGGGGGCGCGGGCGAAGUUCGUCCGCCGGACUCGGAAUGGGGCGAGACUUUGCGAGGGGCCUCGAGGUGCCAAAAAUAAGCCGCGGGCAAAGCCGCGCCCAAAAAUAAGCGCCCGAAGGUCGUGGUGCCAAAACCCCCCAGCGGAUAAAUGGCCAAAAAACGGGUGGGCUAUAGCCUUGGUGGGGGGCGCGGGCGAAGUUCGUCCGCCGGACUCGGAAUGGGGCGAGACUUUGCGAGGGGCCUCGGGGUGCCCGCGGGAAGUCGCGGGCACAGCCGCGUCCAAAAUAAGCGCCCGAAGGUCGUGGUGCAAAAACCCCCCAGCGGAAAAAUGGCCAAAAAACGGGUGGGCUAUAGCCUUGGUGGGGGGCGCGGGCGAAGUUCGUCCGCCGGACUCGGAAUGGGGCGAGACUUUGCGAGGGGCCUCGGGGUGCCCGCGGGAAGUCGCGGGCACAGCCGCGUCCAAAAAUAAGCGCCCGAAGGUCGUGGUGCCAAAACCCCCCAGCGGAAAAAUAGCCAAAAAACGGGUGGGCUAUAGCCUUGGUGGGGGGCGCGGGCGAAGUUCGUCCGCCGGACUCGGAAUGGGGCGAGACUUUGCGCGAGGCCUCGGGGCGCCAAAAAUAAGCCGCGGGCAAAACCGCGCCCAAAAAUAAGCGCCCGAAGGUCGUGGUGCCAAAACCCCCCAGCGGAAAAAUGGCCAAAAAACGGGUGGGCUAUAGCCUUGGUGGGGGGCGCGGGCGAAGUUCGUCCGCCGGACUCGGAAUGGGGCGAGACUUUGCGAGGGGCCUCGGGGUGCCCGCGGGAAGUCGCGGGCACAGCCGCGUCCAAAAAUAAGCCCCCGAAGGUCGUGGUGCCAAAACCCCCCAGCGGAAAAAUGGCCAAAAAACGGGUGGGCAAUAGCCUUGGUGGGGGGCGCGGGCAAAGUUCGUCCGCCGGACUCGGAAUGGGGCGAGACUUUGCGAGGGGCCUCGGGGUGCCAAAAAUAAGCCGCGGGCAUAGCCGCGCCCAAAAAUAAGCGCCCGAAGGUCUUGGUGCCAAAACCCCCCAGCGGAAAAAUGGCCAAAAAACGGGUGGGCUAUAGCCUUGGUGGGGGGCGCGGGCGAAGUUCGUCCGCCGGACUCGGAAUGGGGCGAGACUUUGCGAGGGGCCUCGGGGUGCCCGCGGGAAGUCGCGGGCACAGCCGCGUCCAAAAAUAAGCGCCCGAAGGUCGUGGUGCAAAAACCCCCCAGCGGAAAAAUGGCCAAAAAACGGGUGGGCUAUAACCUUGGUGGGGGGCGCGGGCGAAGUUCGUCCGCCGGACUCGGAAUGGGGCGAGACUUUGCGAGGGGCCUCGAGGUGCCUGCGGGAAGUCGCGGGCACAGCCGCGUCCAAAAAUAAGCGCCCGAAGGUCGUGGUGCCAAAACCCCCCAGCGGAAAAAUAGCCAAAAAACGGGUGGGCUAUAGCCUUGGUGGGGGGCGCGGACGAAGUUCGUCCGCCGGACUCGGAAUGGGGCGAGACUUUGCGAGGGGCCUCGGGGUGCCAAAAAUAAGCCGCGGGCAAAGCCGCGCCCAAAAAUAAGCGCCCGAAGGUCGUGGUGCCAAAACCUCCCAGCGGAAAAAUGGCCAAAAAACGGGUGGGCUAUAGCCUUGGUGGGGGGCGCGGGCGAAGUUCGUCCGCCGGACUCGGAAUGGGGCGAGACUUUGCGAGGGGCCUCGGGGUGCCCGCGGGAAGUCGCGGGCUCAGCCGCGUCCAGAAAUAAGCGCCCGAAGGUCGUGGUGCCAAAACCCCCCAGCGGAAAAAUGGCCAAAAAACGGGUGGGCUAUAGCCUUGGUUGGGGGCGCGGGCGAAGUUCGUCCGCCGGACUCGGAAUGGGGCGAGACUUUGCGAGGGGCCUUGGGGUGCCCGCGGGAAGUCGCGGGCACAGCCGCGUCCAAAAAUAAGCGCCCGAAGGUCGUGGUGCCAAAACCCCCCAGCGGAAAAAUGGCAAAAAAACGGGUGGGUUAUAGGCUUGGUGGGGGGCGCGGGCGAAGUUCGUCCGCCGGACUCGGAAUGGGGCGAGACUUUGCGCGGGGCCUCGGGGCGCCAAAAAUAAGCCGCGGGCAAAGCCGCACCCAAAAAUAAGCGCCCGAAGGUCGUGGUGCUAAAACCCCCCAGCGGAAAAAUGGCCAAAAAACGGGUGGGCUAUAGCCUUGGCGGGGGGCGCGGGCGAAGUUCGUCCGCCGGACUCGGAAUGGGGCGAGACUUUGUGCGGGGCCUCGGGGCGCCAAAAAUAAGCCGCGGGCAAAGCUGUGCCCAAAAAUAAGCGCCCGAAGGUCGUGGUGCCAAAACCCACCAGCGGAAAAAUGGCCAAAAAACGGGUGGGAUAUAGCCUUGGUGGGGCCGCGGGCGAAGUUCGUCCGCCGGACUCGGAAAGGGGCGAGACUUUGCGCAGGGCCUCGGGGUGCCAAAAAUAAGCCGCGGGCAAAGACGCGCCCAAAAAUAAGCGCCCGAAGGUCGUGGUGCCAAAACCCCCCAGCGGAAAAAUGGCGAAAAAACGGGUGGGCUAUAGCCUUGGUGGGGAGCGCGGGCGAAGUUUGUCCGCCGGACUCGGAAUGGGGCGAGACUUUGCGAGGGGCCUCGGGGUACCCGCGGGAAGUCGCGGGCACAGCCGGGUCGAAAAAUAAGCGCCCGAAGGUCGUGGUGCCAAAACCCCCCAGCGGAAAAAUGGCCAAAAAACGGGUGGGCUAUAGCCUUGGUGGGGGGCGCGGGCGAAGUUCGUCCGCCGGACUCGGAAUGGGGCGAGACUUUGCGAGGGGCCUCGGGGUGCCAAAAAUAAGCCGCGGGCAAAGCCGCGCCCAAAAAUAAGUGCCCGAAGGUCGUGGUGCCAAAACCCCCCAGCGGAAAAAUGGCCAAAAAACGGGUGGGCUAUAGCCUUGGUUGGGGGCGCGGGCGAAGUUCGUCCGCCGGACUCGGAAUGGGGCGAGACUUUGCGAGGGGCCUCGGGGUGCCAAAAAUAAGCCGCGGGCAAAGCUGUGCCCAAAAAUAAGCGCCCGAAGGUCGUGGUGCCAAAACCCACCAGCGGAAAAAUGGCCAAAAAACGGGUGGGCUAUAGCCUUGGUGGGGCCGCGGGCGAAGUUCGUCCGCCGGACUCGGAAAGGGGCGAGACUUUGCGCAGGGCCUCGGGGUGCCAAAAAUAAGCCGCGGGCAAAGACGCGCCCAAAAAAUAAGCGUCCGAAGGUCGUGGUGCCAAAACCCCCCAGCGGAAAAAUGGCCAAAAAACGGGUGGGCUAUAGCCUUGGUGGGGAGCGCGGGCGAAGUUGUUCCGCCGGACUCGGAAUGGGGCGAGACUUUGCGAGGGGCCUCGGGGUACCCGCGGGAAGUCGCGGGCACAGCCGCGUCGAAAAAUAAGCGCCCGAAGGUCGUGGUGCCAAAACCCCCCAGCGGAAAAAUGGCCAAAAAACGGGUGGGCUAUAGCCUUGGUGGGGGGCGCGGGCGAAGUUCGUCCGCCGGACUCGGAAUGGGGCGAGACUUUGCGAGGGGCCUCGGGGUGCCAAAAAUAAGCCGCGGGCAAAGCCGCGCCCAAAAAUAAGUGCCCGAAGGUCGUGGUGCCAAAACCCCCCAGCGGAAAAAUGGCCAAAAAACGGGUGGGCUAUAGCCUUGGUGGGGGGCGCGGGCGAAGUUCGUCCGCCGGACUCGGAAUGGGGCGAGACUUUGCGAGGGGCCUCGGGGUGCCAAAAAUAAGCCGCGGGCAAAGCUGUGCCCAAAAAUAAGCGCCCGAAGGUCGUGGUGCCAAAACCCACCAGCGGAAAAAUGGCCAAAAAACUGGGUGGGCUAUAGCCUUGGUGGGGCCGCGGGCGAAGUUCGUCCGCCGGACUCGGAAAGGGGCGAGACUUUGCGAGGGCCCUCGGGGUACCAAAAAUAAGCCGCGGGCAAAGCCGCGCCCAAAAAUAAGCGCCCAAAGGUCGUGGUGCCAAAACCCCCAGCGGAAAAAUGGCCAAAAAACGGGUGGGCUAUAGCCUUGGUGGGGGGCGAGGGCGAAGUUCGUCCGCCGGACUCGGAAUGGGGCGAGACUUUGCGAGGGGCCUCGGGGUACCCGCGGGAAGUCGCGGGCACAGCCGCGUCGAAAAAUAAGCGCCCGAAGGUCGUGGUGCCAAAACCCCCCAGCGGAAAAAUGGCCAAAAAACGGGUGGGCUAUAGCCUUGGUGGGGGGUGCGGGCGAAGUUCGUUCGCCGGACUCGGAAUGGGGCGAGACUUUGCGAGGGGCCUCGGGGUGCCCGCGGGAAGUCGCGGGCACAGCCGCGUCCAGAAAUAAGCGCCCGAAGGUCGUGGUGCCAAAACCCCCAGCGGAAAAAUGGCCAAAAAACGGGUGGGCUACAGCUUUGGUGGGGGGCGCGGGCGAAGUUCGUCCGCCGGACUCGGAAUGGGGCGAGACUUUGCGAGGGGCCUCGGGGUGGCAAAAAUAAGCCGCGGGCAAAGCCGCGCCCAAAAAUAAGCGCCCAAAGGUCGUGGUGCCAAAACCCCCCAGCGGAAAAAUGGCCAAAAAACGGGUGGGCUAUAGCCUUGGUGGGGGGCGCGGGCGAAGUUCGUCCACCGGACUCGGAAUGGGGCCAGACUUUUCGAGGGGCCUCGGAGCAUCAAAAAUAAGCCGCGGGCAAAGCCGCACCCAAAAAUAAGCGCCCGAAGGUCGUGGUGCCAAAACCCCCAGCGGAAAAAUGGCCAAAAAACGGGUGGGCUAUAGCCUUGGUGGGGGGCGAGGGCGAAAUUCGUCCGCCGGACUCGGAAUGGGGCGAGACUUUGCGAGGGGCCUCGGGGUGCCAAAAAUAAGGCGCGGGCAAAGCCGCGCCCAAAAAUAAGCGCCCAAAGGUCGUGGUGCCAAAACCCCCCAGCGGAAAAAUGGCCAAAAAACGGGUGGGCUAUAGCCUUGGUGGGGGGCGCGGGCGAAGUUCGUCCGCCGGACUCGGAAUGGGGCGAGACUUUGCGAGGGGCCUCGGGGUGCCCGCGGGAAGUCGCGGGCACAGCCGCGUCCAGAAAUAAGCGCCCGAAGGUCGUGGUGCCAAAACCCCCAGCGGAAAAAUGGCCAAAAAACGGGUGGGCUACAGCUUUGGUGGGGGGCGCGGGCGAAGUUCGUCCGCCGGACUCGGAAUGGGACGAGACUUUGCGAGGGGCCUCGGGGUGCCAAAAAUAAGCCGCGGGCAGAGCCGCGCCCAAAAAUAAGCGCCCGAAGGUCGUGGUGCCAAAACCCCCCAGCGGAAAAUUGGCCAAAAAACGAGUGGGCUAUAGCCUUGGUGGGGGGCGCGGGCGAAGUUCGUCCGCCGGACUCGGAAUGGGGCGAGACUUUGCGAGGGGCCUCGGGGUGCCCGCGGGAAGUCGCGGGCACAGCCGCGUCCAGAAAUAAGCGCCCGAAGGUCGUGGUGCCAAAACCCCCCAGCGGAAAAAUGGCCAAAAAACGGGUGGGCUAUAGCCUUGGUGGGGGGCGCGGGCGAAGUUCGUCCGCGGGACUCGGAAUGGGGCGAGACUUUGCGAGGGCCCUCGGGGUGCCAAAAAUAAGCUGCGGGGAAAGCCGCGCCCAAAAAUAAGCGCCCAAAGGUCGUGGUGCCAAAACCCCCCAGCGGAAAAAUGGCCAAAAAACGGGUGGGCUAUAGCCUUGGUGGGGGGCGCGGGCGAAGUUCGUCCGCCGGACUCGGAAUGGGGCGAGACUUUGCGAGGGGCCUCGGGGUGCCCGAGGGAAGUCGCGGGCACAGCCGCGUACAGAAAUAAGCGCCCGAAGGUCGUGGUGCUAAAACCCCCCAGCGGAAAAAUGGCCAAAAAACGGGUGGGCUAUAGCCUUGGUGGGGGGCGCGGGCGAAGUUUGUCCGCCGGACUCGGAAUGGGGCCAGACUUUGCGAGGGGCCUCGGAGUGGCAAAAAUCAGCCGCGGGCAAAGCCGCGCCCAAAAAUAAGCGCCCAAAGGUCGUGGUGCCAAAACCCCCCAGCGGAAAAAUGGCCAAAAAACGGGUGGGCUAUAGCCUUGGUGGGGGGCGCGGGCGAAGUUCGUCCCCCGGACUCGGAAUGGGGCGAGACUUUGCGAGGGGCCUCGAGGUGCCCGCGGGAAGUCGCGGGCACAGCCGCGUCCAAAAAUAAGCGCCCGAAGGUCGUGGUGCCAAAACCUCCCAGCGGAAAAAUAGCCAAAAAACGGGUGGGCUAUAGCCUUGGUGGGGGGCGCGGGCGAAGUUCGUCCGCCGGACUCGGAAUGGGGCGAGACUUUGCGCGGGGCCUCGGGGCGCCAAAAAUAAGCCGAGGGCAAAGUCGCGCCCAAAAAUAAGCGCCCGAAGGUCGUGGUGCCAAAACCUCCCAGCGGAAAAAUGGCCAAAAAACGGGUGGGCUAUAGCCUUGGUGGGGGGCGCGGGCGAAGUUCGUCCGCCGGACUCGGAAUGGGGCGAGACUUUGCGCGGGGCCUCGGGGCGCCAAAAAUGAGCCGCGGGCAAAGCCGCGCCCAAAAAUAAGCGCCCGAAGGUCGUGGUGCCAAAACCCCCCAGCGGAAAAAUGGCCAAAAAACGGGUGGGCUAUAGCCUUGGUGGGGGGCGCGGGCGAAGUUCGUCCGCCGGACUCGGAAUGGGGCGAGACUUUGCGAGGGGCCUCGGGGUGCCCGCGGGAAGUAGCGGGCACAGCCGCGUCCAAAAAUAAGCGCCCGAAGGUCGUGGUGCCAAAACCCCCCAGCGGAAAAAUGGCCAAAAAACGGGUGGGCAAUAGCCUUGGUGGGAGGCGCGGGCGAAGUUCGUCCGCCGGACUCGGAAUGGGGCGAGACUUUGUGAGGGGCCUCGGGGUGCCAAAAAUAAGCCGCGGGCAAAGCCGCGCCCGAAGGUCUUGGUGCCAAAACCCCCCAGCGGAAAAAUGGCCAAAAAACGGGUGGGCUAUAGCCUUGGUGGGGGGCGCGGGCGAAGUUCGUCCGCAGGACUCGGAAUGGGGCGAGACUUUGCGAGGGGCCUCGGGGUGCCCGCGGGAAGUCGCGGGCACAGCCGCGUCCAAAAAUAAGCGCCCGAAGGUCGUGGUGCCAAAACCCCCCAGCGGAAAAAUGGCUAAAAAACGGGUGGGCUAUAGCCUUGGUGGGGGGCGCGGGCGAAGUUCGUCCGCCGGACUCGGAAUGGGGCAAGACUUUGUGAGGGGCCUCGAGGUGCCCGCGGGAAGUCUCGGGCACAGCCGCGUCCAAAAAUAAGCGCCCGAAGGUCGUGGUGCCAAAACCCCCCAGCGGAAAAAUACCCAAAAAACGGGUGGGCCAUAGCCUUGGUGGGGGGCGCGGGCGAAGUUCGUCCGCCGGACUCGGAAUGGGGCGAGACUUUGCGCAGGGCCUCGGGGUGCCAAAAAUAUGCCGCGGGCAAAGCCACGCCCAAAAAUAAUCGCCCGAAGGUCGUGGUGCCAAAACCCCCCAGCGGAAAAAUGGCCAAAAAACGGGUGGGCUAUAGCCUUGGUGGGGGGCGCGGUCGAAGUUCGUCCGCCGGACUCGGAAUGGGGCGAUACUUUGCGAGGGGCCUCGGGGUGGCAAAAAUCAGCCGCGGGCAAAGCCGCCCCCAAAGGUCGUUGUGCCAAAACCCCCCAGCGGAAAAAUGGCCAAAAAACGGGUGGGCUAUAGCCUUGGUGGGGGGUGCGGGCGAAGUUCGUCCGCCGGACUCGGAAUGGGGCGAGACUUUGCGAGGGGCCUCGAGGUGCCCGCGGGAAGUCGCGGGCACAGCCGCGUCCAAAAAUAAGCGCCCGAAGGUCGUGGUGCCAAAACCCCCCAGCGGAAAAAUAGCCAAAAAACGGGUGGGCUAUAGCCUUGGUGGGGGGCGCGGGCGAAGUUCGUCCGCCGGACUCGGAAUGGGGCGAGACUUUGCGCGGGGCCUCGGGGUGCCAAAAAUAAGCCGUGGGCAAAGUCGCGCACGAAGGUCGUGGUGCCAAAACCCCCCAGCGGAAAAAUAGCCAAAAAAUGGGUGGGCUAGAGCCUUGGUGGGGGGCGCGGGCGAAGUUCGUCCGCCGGACUCGGAAUCGGGCGAGACUUUGCGAGGGGCCUCGGGGCACCGAAAAUAAGCCGCGGGCAAAGCCGCGCCCAAAAAUAAGCGCUCGAAGGUUGUGGUGCCAAAACCCCCCAGCGGAAAAAUGGCCAAAAAACGGGUGGGCUAUAGCCUUGGUGGGGGGCGCGGGCGAAGUUCGUCUGCCGGACUCGGAAUGGGGCGAGACUUUGCAAGGUGCCUCGGGGUGCCAAAAAUAGGCCGCGGGCAAAGCCGCGCCCAAAAAUAAGCGCCCGAAGGUCGUGGUGCCAAAACCCCCCAGCGGAAAAAUGGCCAAAAAACGGGUGGGCUAUAGCCUUGGUGGGGGGCGCGGGCGAAGUUCGUCCGCCGGACUCGGAAUGGGGCGAGACUUUGCGCGGGGCCUCGGGGGGCCAAAAAUAAGCCGCGGGCAAAGCCGCACCCAAAAAUAAGCGCCCGAAGGUCGUGGUGCCAAAACCCCCCAGCGGAAAAAUGGCCAAAAAACGGGUGGGCUAUAGCCUUGGUGGGGGGCGCGGGCGAAGUUCGUCCGCCGGACUCGGAAUGGGGCGAGACUUUGCGAGGGGCCUCGGGGUGCCAAAAAUAAGCCGCGGGCAAAGCCGCGCCCAAAAAUAAGCGCCCGAAGGUCUUGGUGCCAAAACCCCCCAGCGGAAAAAUGGCCAAAAAACGGGUGGGCUAUAGCCUUGGUGGGGGGCGCGGGCGAACUUCGUCCGCCGGACUCGGAAUGGGGCGAGACUUUGCGAGGGGCCUCGGGGUACCAAAAAUAAGCCGCGGGCAAAGCCGCGCCCAAAAAUAAGCGCCCGAAGGUCUUGGUACCAAAACCCCCCAGCGGAAAAAUGGCCAAAAAACGGGUGGGCUAUAGCCUUGGUGGGGGGCGCGGGCGAAGUUCGUCCGCCGGACUCGGAAUGGGGCGAGACUUUGCGAGGGGCCUUGGGGUGCCCGCGGGAAGUCGCGGGCACAGCCGCGUCCAAAAAUAAGCGCCCGAAGGUCGUGGUGCCAAAACCCCCCAGCGGAAAAAUGGCCAAAAAACGGGUGGGCUAUAGCCUUGGUGGGGGGCGCGGGCGAAGUUCGUCCGCCGGACUCAGAAUGGGGCGAGACUUUGCGAGGAGCCUCGAGGUGCCCGCGGGAAGUCGCGGGCACAGCCUCGUCCAAAAAUAAGCGCCCGAAGGUCGUGGUGCCAAAACCCCCCAGCGGAAAAAUAGCCAAAAAACGGGUGGGCUAUAGCCUUGGUGGGGGGCGCGGGCGAAGUUCGUCCGCCGGACUCGGAAUGGGGCGAGACUUUACGAGGGGCCUCGGGGUGCCCGCGGGAAGUCGCGGGCUCAGCCGCAUCCAAAAAUAAGCGCCCGAAGGUCGUGGUGCCAAAACCCCCCAGCGGAAAAAUGGCCAAAAAACGGGUGGGCUAUAGCCUUGGUGGGGGGCGCGGGCGAAGUUCGUCCGCCGGACUCGGAAUGGCGCGAGACUUUGCGAGGGGCCUCGGGGUGCCAAAAAUAAGCCGCGGGCAAAGCCGCGCCCAAAAAUAAGCGCCCGAAGGUCUUGGU